rnacentral:rRNA from 1 species
CAUGCAAGUCGACGGUUCUCUUUUCGCAAGAGGAGGGGACAGUGGCGCACGGCUGAGGAACACGUCGGUAACCUGUCCUGGUGUGGGGCAUACGCCAUCGAAAGGUGGCCUAAUUCCGCGUACGCUCACUCGUGGAGACACGGGCGAGGAAAGCAGCAAUGCGCACCAGGAGGGGCCGGCGGGCGAUUAGUUAGCUGGUGGGGUAACGGCUCACCAGGGCGAUGAUCGCUAGCGGGUCUGAGAGGAUGAUCCGCCAGACUGGGACGGAGGACGGCCCAGACACCUACGGGUGGCAGCAGUUGGGAAUUUUGCGCAAUGGUCGACAGACUGACGCAGCAACGCCGCGUGGAGGACGACGCCUUCAGGGGUGUAAACUCCUUUUCGUGGGGACGAUAAUGACGGUACCCGCGGAAGAAGCCUCGGCUAACUACGUGCCAGCAGCCGCGGUAAUACGUAGGAGGCAAGCGUUGUCCGGAUUUACUGGGCGUAAAGCGUUCGUAGGCGGUUUGGUAAGCGCGCCGUGAAAGCGCCUGGCUCAACUGGGCGAGGUCGGUGCGAACUGCCAGACUGGAGGGUCGGCGAGGCAGACGGAAUUCCCGGAGGAGCGGUAACAUGCGUAGAGAUCGGGAGGAACACCUGUGGCGAAAGCGGUCUGCUGGACGAUGCCUGACGCUGAGGAACGAAAGCGUGGGGAGCGAACUGAAUUAGAUACUCAGGUAGUCCACGCCCUAAACGAUGAUGACUAGGUGUGGGGGGUAUCGACCCCUCCCGUGCCGGCACAAACGCAGUAAGUCAUCCGCCUGGGGAGUACGGGCGCAAGGCUAAACUCAAAGGAAUUGACGGGGACCCGCACAAGCAGCGGAGCGUGUGGUUUAAUUCGAUGCAACGCGA